rnacentral:rRNA from 1 species
AUGCACAUCUUUCUGGCCGCGUUCCUGCCGGCCGCCGUUGUAGUUCUAUACCUCAAGAUGCGGCCGCGCUUCGUGUACCUUGUCGACUACGCCUGCUUCCGCACCAAGCCCAGCCACCGCGUCCCCUUCGGCACAUUCCUCAAGCACGCCAAGCUUGUCACCUUCAUUGAGGGGGCCUCGAUUGACAAGCGCAUCAUCCGUUUCAUGACGCGGCUGCUGGAGCGAUCCGGGCUUGGGAAGGAGACGUGCCUGUCCCCGGCGCACCACUUCAUCCUGCCAUACCAAAACUUGGAGGCCUCGCACGAGGACGUGGAGCUCGUCAUCUUCUCUGCCAUUGACGACCUACUUGCCCAGACGAGCAUCAGCCCCGACGCCAUUGACUUCCUCGUCGUCAACUGCAGCCUCUUCGUGCCCAUCCCAUUCUUCACCGACUGA